AAACAUGUCUUUUUGAGUUGAUUUUAAAGUCUAACCUGCCCACUGAAUAAUUUUUAAAUGGCCGCAGUAUUUUGACUGUGCAAAGGUAGCAUAAUCAUUAGUCUUUUAAUUGAAGGCUGGUAUGAAUGGUUGGACGAAGUAUAAGCUGUUUCAUAUAAAUUUAUUAUAGAAUUUUAUAUUUUAGUAAAAAAGCUAAAAUUUUAUUAAAAGACGAGAAGACCCUAUAAAUCUUUAUAUUUAAUUUUAUUUAAUUUUUUUUGAUUUAUUUAAUUUUAAUAAUAUUGAGUAUUUUGUUGGGGUGAUGUUAAAAUUUAAUUAACUUUUAAUUAAAAAAAAUCAUUAAUUUAUGAUUUAUUGAUCCAAUAGUAUUGAUUAUAAGAUUAAGUUACUUUAGGGAUAACAGCGUAAUUUUUUUUAAGAGUUCAUAUCGACAAAAAAGUUUGCGACCUCGAUGUUGGAUUAAGGUAUAAUUUUGGGUGUAGCUGUUCAAAUGUUAAGUCUGUUCGACUUUUA
rnacentral:rRNA from 1 species